GCUGCCUCUCCCAGCCUCCUAACCUACGGCAGACAUUACUAGUCAAACAAAGCUUCCCCUCGGAGCCUGGAAGCAGCCUGAGAAAGUGGCAGCAUUGCACUUCCUGGAGAUUCUUAUCAACUGACCCGUGUUGGCGGGCAAGUUCAUACUCACUUGCCAUUCCUGCCAUGACAACCAAACAAAAAACAGGGUGAACAAGACUCCUUCUCUCUACCGGCUUCAUCGCCUGAACAACUCAGAACACCCUCCUUCCAAAUUAUCAGGCACCUUCUUAUUGCAAUGAAUAAAUAAAUAUGAAUGAAUUUUUAUAUGAAUGAAUGAAGGGAAUAAAGUCAGUCAGGCAUUUGCUGCAUAUGGCUUCUGAAGAUGACCUAGCCCUUCCCCUCUCAUUCCUCAGAUGAGAAGACUGAGGCAAAGAGAAGGACCAUCCAACUUCACCAGAACUGGCAGGAAAACUAGGAUGAGCCUGAGAGUCAGAAUACAAAAUGAAUAUUCAGGAUCAAGUAACUUCAGAUGAAGGAUGAAAGCUUCACACAGACUUUGUAUUUUCGAGGCUUCAGAGACAGAAGAGCAUAAAUGAGGAGGCAAUCAGGCUAUGAGAAGUGUGGCUGUAAGCCUGCACCCUGAAGUAACUGACGAGCACGUCCUCUCUGAGUUUUAGGUGGACACGAUAUCUUUAUGUUUAUGUGGUGUGAGGAUGGAACCCAGCGCCCUGCGUGUGUGCCAGGGCUAAUCCCAUCGAUGUUGGAGACAUAUGUCAAACAUUCAGCACUUUCCAUUUCGACAGGGAGUAUGCCUUUCAUCUUCUCAAAAAGCACAGCUACAGUCCGGGUCUCACAUGCUGCAUUACAAGAACUUGCUUUGUCAACAUCUUCCUGAUUCAAUUUCAUGGCAGAUGUUGUUCUUGGAACCUUGUGUGAAGCAUUUUUAGAAUGAGUUGUAACAUGUACAGCCUGGCCAGUAAUGAGUUUAUUAAACUGCUGCUUGUGUGUCUUGUUAA